CAUAAAGCAGAAUUACAGUUUUAGAGUUAGUUGAAGUGAAUUUAAUUAAUUGUGUUAUUUUUGUAGUGUUUACCGACAUUGCCAUGUACAAUACAAUGCAUGUAGCAUUUGUAUUGUACGCGGAAACGGAACGAAAAAGAUGUCUUUGUCGAGUUCAUUGCAAAACUUUCGUGUCGCGAUACCAGCAGGUUUUAGAAGAAAUACAAAGUCUUCGAACAACUGCUGUUCGCAAUGAAUUAGAGAUAAGUCUUGGCAGCUUUAAACUUUUAUGCCAAUGGAUCAUACAAAUGGCUUUGUGAUGGCUAAGGCAUCUUUUAGCAAAUGCCUACAUGAAGUCGCU
rnacentral:lncRNA from 1 species